UACAUAUGAGGUUUAGUGUGACCUCAGUACGAGGGUUACUCCUUUUAGUGUAUGUAAUGGAGACUGUGUACACACAAGGUGAAGGGGCAUCAAGCUUCAGCCGUGAGGGAGGAGGGCAGUUCCCAGGCCCCUGUGUGUACGCUGGGGGGCAAUAACUCACAAGUUCCCUCAGAACUUCCUCUUUCGUCCCAGGUUUUUACGACCCCUGUAGACUGGAAUACAGCUGCUAAGGCUCUGCGAUGUGAAUCUAGGGAGCGUGAGAGAGGAGAAACAGGAGGAGAAAGAGGACAGCAGGAGAGCUGAUGGAGAAAGGAAAGGAGUCUGAAAGCCAAAAUGUUAAGAGUGAAGACUAGAGACCUGCACUCCUGUGGGAUCCGAUGCAACAGAUUGUGGCAUGUACAAGACUUGAUGGGUUGAAGACAGAUACGGCAGGUGUACUCAGCAGACACUAGAUGGCAGCAUUUCUCACAUGGAAUAACGAACGUGUCUUUUGGACAGCGAUUUGGAGAGAUUGGACACCAGUCUAUAAUGGACACCGGGAAUAAAGGACUAGUGGCAUUUCUGUACCAGACAAUCUCCAAGGAUCGAAAAGAAAAAUACUUUAUUGAUCAAAGCAUGAGAUGUUGCAAAACUUUUUAAAGGGUAUCCAGUGUGUCCAGUUAAAGUAAAGUACAGUUUCUAAUUUGUAGUCAGGCAGCCUUUUCUACAGGAAACAUGGUCAUGACCUGAAUUUUAAAGAGCCGAGUUGUCUUUUUCAGACACGGUUUAGGUCUCUUUACUUGUAUUCUCACUGGAAAUAGUUUUGUACUGUUGUUCUUUCUGCUUCCACCACUGAUUAAUGGUGCAUAUAUUAGUCAGCAGUAAAACACUGAUUAGGUGAUGAUAGAGCAGUCUCGGGU